rnacentral:rRNA from 1 species
CUAAUACCGCGUAACCAUGGUUACCGCAUGGUAACUAUGUAAAAGGUGGCUAUGCUACCGCUUUUGGAUGGGCCCGCGGCGCAUUAGCUAGUGGUGGGGUAAAGGCUUACCAAGGCAAUGAUGCGUAGCCGAACUGAGAGGUUGAUCGGCCACAUUGGGACUGAGACACGGCCCAAACUCCUACGGGAGGCAGCAGUAGGGAAUCUUCCACAAUGGGCGAAAGCCUGAUGGAGCAACGCCGCGUGGGUGAAGAAGGUCUUCGGAUCGUAAAACCCUGUUGUUAGAGAAGAAAGUGCGUGAGAGUAACUGUUCACGUUUCGACGGUAUCUAACCAGAAAGCCACGGCUAACUACGUGCCAGCAGCCGCGGUAAUACGUAGGUGGCAAGCGUUAUCCGGAUUUAUUGGGCGUAAAGGGAACGCAGGCGGUCUUUUAAGUCUGAUGUGAAAGCCUUCGGCUUAACCGGAGUAGUGCAUUGGAAACUGGGAGACUUGAGUGCAGAAGAGGAGAGUGGAACUCCAUGUGUAGCGGUGAAAUGCGUAGAUAUAUGGAAGAACACCAGUGGCGAAAGCGGCUCUCUGGUCUGUAACUGACGCUGAGGUUCGAAAGCGUGGGUAGCAAACAGGAUUAGAUACCCUGGUAGUCCACGCCGUAAACGAUGAAUGCUAAGUGUUGGAGAGUUUCCGCCCUUCAGUGCUGCAGCUAACGCA